UACGUAGGGUCCGAGCGUUGUCCGGAAUUAUUGGGCGUAAAGGGCUCGUAGGCGGUUUGUCGCGUCGGGAGUGAAACACGGGGCUUAACCCCGUGCCUGCUUCCGAUACGGGCAGACUAGAGGUAUGCAGGGGAGAACGGAAUUCCUGGUGUAGCGGUGAAAUGCACAGAUAUCAGGAGGAACACCCGUGGCGAAGGCGGCUCUCUGGGACGGUACUGACGCUGAGACGCGAAAGCGUGGGGGAGCGAAACAGG
rnacentral:rRNA from 1 species